rnacentral:lncRNA from 1 species
GGCCCGAUGGGAGUUCCGGGUCGUGACAUUUAAACACUACGUAGAAAAAGAUGACCCUGAAUUCAUUACUCACUCAACAGUCCAAAAUUCUAAAAGUACCCAUGGACUAGGGAGAAAACCCAAAUUCACUCCAAAAAUUUCCUACCAAAUUUAUAAUGAGAACAAACCACUAUAUGUUCUUCUAUCAUUAGGACUACCAAC